rnacentral:lncRNA from 1 species
UACUUUAGAUCAUCUCUAGGUUAAUUAUAAUGCCUAGUACAAUGUAAAUGAUAUGUAAAUAGUCAUUAUACUGUACUAUUUGUAUUGUUAUAUUGUUAUUUUUCUCUAAAUAUUUUUGAUCCAUAGUUGGUUGAAUCCACGGAUGUUUGGAUCCAGCCCCUGGAUACGGAGGGCUGACUUUAAUCUUCCCCCAUCCUUAAGUAUCCUGUGAAGUUAUAAAUGAUGUGUGCCAUGUCUUACACCAGCAACUGUGCCCCCUUGGCCUGGGCACAUGUGGCAACUGUCCAUGCAUCAUGUUGUUUAGGUGAGCUUGCUGUUUCUGUCCCUACUGCUGUUGGCCCAACUAGGAAAUAUGAACUAGGUAAAUAAUUUUCAAAAAUCCAGACAUUAACUUAUUUGCCUCUGUAGGAGUCUUUUUUCCAGAGCUGAUGAUAACAAGACAGUUUCCUCUGCAGCUUCUUUCACCUGGCAUCUAUUUCACAGAGGAGGGAGAGGAGGGAAGGAAAUUGUAAUUCACAGUGAUGUUAUCAGCCAGCACCAUGCCUGGGAGAUCACCAGUGCAGGAGAGGUAUAAAAUGCUCCAGGGGCAAGGUUCUGAGAAGAUGCCCUGCCACUGUAUGAGGCCACAACCUGCUGUGUAUAACCUCAUCUAAGCACAGAGAAGCACCAGGAAGACUGAGCGUGGGAAAUGAUAAAGCAAACUGUGGACUUGAAUGAAAGACAUACAGGUAUUCUUUGUAUUUUUAUAGUUAGCUUCUGAGUCUGAAAUUAUUUCCCAAAUAAAAAGUUAAAAACAAAUCUCUACUGAACAAUGUACAUCUUCCAAGAGAUUUCCUUGUAGCUAAACUACUGAUAAGCUUAGGUUCAUAAAAGUCUAUCUAGCAUCCAGUGACUAAGG